CCGGGGCCAGGUCCGCACUGAUGUACGCGAUGGGCUCCGGCCUGGCACUGACCUCCUUGACCACCGGCCGAUUCACUUCGCACCACACUCUCACCUACGCUAUUAACGCUUUCUUCGGCCCCGACAUCGGCUCCUUCUCCGAGUGGCUCAGCUCUUUCUUUGUUGAUUCCUCGGACUUUGCGGUGGCCGAUUCCAUCCACCAUCCUUUCUUCUAUAUCUUAAUUCUGGGCUUGCCUUUUUCUGUACUGUACUCUUGGAUCUCAAGGCUUUUACUUCAAAAUGGAGUUCUUGCUUCUGUUUCUGGGCUUCCACUUUCAAGAAAACAAUGUCUGUUUCUGGUGUCUGCUGGUUCUUUAUCACACUUCUUCCUUGACCAUUUGUUUGAGGUAAAACUUAAAGAUAUUUUUAGUUGAAUUUUAAUGAUGGUACAACAAUUUAAUUAUUUGUGAUGUAUUAUAAUAUAUUUGAUUAUAAGAUUGAGAGACUACAAUCAUUAUUAUUGUUACAAGAUUGAUUGAUAUAGUGUAAGUAAACAACCUAAUUAGUUUUAGUGUCAGAUAUUAUUACAUUGUUUAGGAAAUUAGAGAGAACUAAACAUACUAUUGCAAUAUUGGUUGUGAGUGGCUUUAAUCAUUCUCUUUCCUUCAUUAGAGGCACCCAAAUGAAGGAAAUGAAGGAUCUAUCACCCAAACAUGGGAAUGCUCCAUUAAAGGGUAAAGAAAGACAUCGGGACUAAUUUUAUCUUCGAAAUUAGAAGUCUGAAACCAUUUCCUUCUCACUGUUGGUUGGACAUUGCUGGAUAGCUAAAAUCAUAUAUAACAUUUCAUGGGCUAAGAUAUAAUUCUUUAGCUAAUUGGAUUGAAAUUUUUGUAUAGUUAGAUCUCGUGGAUAAAAAUAAUACUAGCCCAAGAAGCUAAUAUAUGUUGUAAGGAAAGAUGUUUGCAUUUUCUAAAAAGCCUGUUUACAGUGUUAAAAUUAGGAUGCAAUUAGUGGAACUUUCCAAGUCCAUUUUCCAUGAGUACGUAGUUAUUGCCCUCAUUAACGAAACAUUGUCAUAUAUAUAUAUAUAUAAGCAGAAACUUUUAUCCUUGAAUUAGUCUAUAUGCAAGAAGUCAAGAGAGUAAAUUGUAUGGGUGCUUGAGUGAACUAUCAGGGCAACUAUUUGUUUAUUCGAACUGACAGAUAUGUAUUUAGCAGCCCGGCUAUCCCACCCUUCCUAUGCCCAGGAAGAACUACAAGAAAAGAGGAAA